rnacentral:rRNA from 1 species
UAAGGAAUAUUGCUCAAUGGGAGAAAUCCUGAAGCAGCAACGCCGCGUGGAGGAUGAAGGGUCUAUGACUUGUAAACUCCUGUAAAGAAGGAAAAAAUUCCCAUUUGAUGGGAGAUGAUGGUACUUCUGGAGUAAGCCCCGGCUAACUACGUGCCAGCAGCCGCGGUAAUACGUAGGGGGCAAGCGUUGUCCGGAUUUACUGGGUGUAAAGGGUGCUCAGGCGGAUUUGUAAGUCAGAGGUGAAAUCUUACAGCUUAACUGUGAAACUGCCUUUGAUACUGCAAGCCUAGAGUAUGGAAGAGAGUGAUGGAAGAUCUGGUGUAGCAGUGAAAUGCGUAGAUAUCAGAUAGAACACCAAUGGCGAAGGCAGUCACUUGGUCCAUUACUGACGCUAAAGCACGAAAGCGUGGGUAGCAAACA